rnacentral:tRNA from 1 species
GCGGGUGUAGUUUAGUGGUAAAACUCCAGCUUCCCAAGCUGGAGAUGUGGGUUCGAUUCCCAUCGCCCGCU